GAUGAACGCUGGCGGCGUGCCUAAUACAUGCAAGUCGAGCGAACAGAUAAGGAGCUUGCUCCUUUGAAGUUAGCGGCGGACGGGUGAGUAACACGUGGGUAACCUACCUAUAAGACUGGGAUAACUUCGGGAAACCGGAGCUAAUACCGGAUAACAUUUAGAACCGCAUGGUUCUAGAGUGAAAGAUGGUUUUGCUAUCACUUAUAGAUGGACCCGCGCCGUAUUAGCUAGUUGGUAAGGUAACGGCUUACCAAGGCGACGAUACGUAGCCGACCUGAGAGGGUGAUCGGCCACACUGGAACUGAGACACGGUCCAGACUCCUACGGGAGGCAGCAGUAGGGAAUCUUCCGCAAUGGGCGAAAGCCUGACGGAGCAACGCCGCGUGAGUGAUGAAGGGUUUCGGCUCGUAAAACUCUGUUAUUAGGGAAGAACAAAUGUGUAAGUAACUGUGCACAUCUUGACGGUACCUAAUCAGAAAGCCACGGCUAACUACGUGCCAGCAGCCGCGGUAAUACGUAAGUGGCAAGCGUUAUCCGGAAUUAUUGGGCGUAAAGCGCGCGUAGGCGGUUUCUUAGUCUGAUGUGAAAGCCCACGGCUCAACCGUGGAGGGUCAUUGGAAACUGGGAAACUUGAGUGCAGAAGAGGAAAGUGGAAUUCCAUGUGUAGCGGUGAAAUGCGCAGAGAUAUGGAGGAACACCAGUGGCGAAGGCGACUUUCUGGUCUGUAACUGACGCUGAUGUGCGAAAGCGUGGGGAUCAAACAGGAUUAGAUACCCUGGUAGUCCACGCCGUAAACGAUGAGUGCUAAGUGUUAGGGGGUUUCCGCCCCUUAGUGCUGCAGCUAACGCAUUAAGCACUCCGCCUGGGGAGUACGACCGCAAGGUUGAAACUCAAAGGAAUUGACGGGGACCCGCACAAGCGGUGGAGCAUGUGGUUUAAUUCGAAGCAACGCGAAGAACCUUACCAAAUCUUGACAUCCUUUGAAAACUCUAGAGAUAGAGCCUUCCCCUUCGGGGGACAAAGUGACAGGUGGUGCAUGGUUGUCGUCAGCUCGUGUCGUGAGAUGUUGGGUUAAGUCCCGCAACGAGCGCAACCCUUAAGCUUAGUUGCCAUCAUUAAGUUGGGCACUCUAGGUUGACUGCCGGUGGCAAACCGGAGGAAGGUGGGGAUGACGUCAAAUCAUCAUGCCCCUUAUGAUUUGGGCUACACACGUGCUACAAUGGACAAUACAAAGGGCAGCUAAACCGCGAGGUCAUGCAAAUCCCAUAAAGUUGUUCUCAGUUCGGAUUGUAGUCUGCAACUCGACUACAUGAAGCUGGAAUCGCUAGUAAUCGUAGAUCAGCAUGCUACGGUGAAUACGUUCCCGGGUCU
rnacentral:rRNA from 1 species